rnacentral:rRNA from 1 species
AUUGAACGCUGGCGGCAGGCCUAACACAUGCCAGUCGAGCGGAUGAAGGGAGCUUGCUCCUGGAUUCAGCGGCGGACGGGUGAGUAAUGCCUAGGAAUCUGCCUGGUAGUGGGGGAUAACGUCCGGAAACGGGCGCUAAUACCGCAUACGUCCUGAGGGAGAAAGUGGGGGAUCUUCGGACCUCACGCUAUCAGAUGAGCCUAGGUCGGAUUAGCUAGUUGGCGGGGUAAAGGCCUACCAAGGCGACGAUCCGUAACUGGUCUGAGAGGAUGAUCAGUCACACUGGAACUGAGACACGGUCCAGACUCCUACGGGAGGCAGCAGUGGGGAAUAUUGGACAAUGGGCGAAAGCCUGAUCCAGCCAUGCCGCGUGUGUGAAGAAGGUCUUCGGAUUGUAAAGCACUUUAAGUUGGGAGGAAGGGCAGUAAGUUAAUACCUUGCUGUUUUGACGUUACCAACAGAAUAAGCACCGGCUAACUUCGUG